UCAGACGAUGCGUCAUGUAUAUCAAUAAGCGGAGGAAAAGAAACUAACAAGGAUUCCCCUAGUAACGGCGAGUGAAGCGGGAAGAGCUCAAAUUUGAAAUCUUAAAGGGUUUCCCUUUACGAAUUGUAGUUUAAAGAAGUGUUUUCUGUUGAGGUUUUGGUAAAAGUUCUUUGGAAUAGGAUAUCAUAGAGGGUGAGAAUCCCGUAUUUGACCUUUACUUUCAACUUUGUGAUACACUUUCAAAGAGUCGGAUUGUUUGGGAAUGCAGUCCAAAAUGGGUGGUAAAUUUCAUCUAAAGCUAAAUAUUGGCGAGAGACCGAUAGCGAACAAGUACCGUGAGGGAAAGAUGAAAAGAACUUUGAAAAGAGAGUUAAACAGUACGUGAAAUUGUCAAAAGGGAAGCGUUUGACACCAGUGUUGUUUUUCUGAAAAUCAAUUAAAGAACUGUUUAUGCUAAGCUGUUUAGACUUUAUCAGCUAUCUGUUUAGUUUUGAGCUUUUCUUUAAUGCACUUUUCAGUUAACAAGUCAACAUCAAUUUCUUUUGCUGUAAAAAAGCUUGAGGAAGGUGGCUUGAGAUUCGUCUUAAGUGUUUAUAGCCUCUUGCCUAUGCAGUCGGAGAGAUUGAGGUCUGCAGCGUAGAUCCUUCGGGGCUAAAUGCAUUUGUGCUAAGUUAUAGCAUUUUAUAGACAACUUGUUGACUAUGAUUUGUCUUGUAGCUUACUCGCUUAUGUUAUUUUACCUACGCUUAGGAUGUUGACACACGCGCGUGCUCG
rnacentral:rRNA from 1 species